rnacentral:snRNA from 1 species
AAAAAACAUUAGACACUUUUCCU